CCGACAACCACUUCCUCUUCUCUUUGCUUCCAUCAGCCCUUUUAAGAAAAGCAGGUGCCCUUAAGAGCCAUCUCCACCCCCAUGUAAACUGCACACAGGAAGGGAGAGGCCACUCCGACUGCUCUGAGGUCCAGGUAGGAUGGUUUCCCCCAGUGUCUGGGUGGGGAGCAAGGAACUCCAGGGGCGACCUUGUGCCACCGCAUCACCUUCCUGCUCAGGGAAGGGGCCUGUGCUGCCGCUUGGAGGGUGCCAUGCCCAGAGCCUCUGCCCCUAGCCUCAGCCUCGCCUACUCACUGGGGGCUCCAGCACCCCCGGCCACCCCAGGACUCCCGAAGAGGCUGCUAGGUCGGCCUGCCCAAAGAGCGGUGAGGAGCGUAUGUGAAGAGCCCCAGUCUUGAGGAGCAGCCUGUAUCUGGAGAGAGGGGAGCCCCGGACCAGAGGUGGGGGACAGGAAGCCAUCGCCCCACCCUGCCUCCUCCCCCACCACAGGUACCAGGCCCGGAAACCACGGAAAGGGGAACUUGGUCUUUUCUUGUUUUGCUCUCAACCCCUUCCUGUCUCCAAGCCCAGGGCAGCUGCCCCGCUCACCCCACCCUGCCCUCGUCCCCACCCUCCCCGAGACUCAAUUCCGUGGGGAGUCGGGCCCUCGACACUGUGCUGACCCCCGGCCACCCACCUCCAUCUUGGCCGCGGUGGUCCCUAGCCCUCGCCUCCGCAGAGCGCUCUGGGGCCCCGGCGGCCCCCACUCCAAGCAGCGUCCCCCCACGGGCUGCUGCGCCCGCUACCUGGCCCCGGCGCUGGCUGGGUCGCGGUGACAGCCGCGCGCCCCCGCAGCCCGCGGCUCCCACGCGCGCGCCGCCCCACAGGUGGCCCUCGCCCCGGCCCACCCGCGCCUCCCAGGCCCAGCCUCACCUGCUGCCGAGAGAGGACAGUGAUCCCCCAAAAGCCGGAGGUGGAGGAGGAGGAGGAAGAGGAGGAAGGAGCUGGAGGAGCCGGGGACUCGCCCGCUGAAGAUGCUCUUGUCAAGACAAUGAAUGAGAAGCAGCCGUGCGCCCGCCUCCGGGGUGGCCGCGCCCCUUGGGGCGGAGCUCUUCCAGGCCCGCCCUGCGCUCCCGGGCUCCCGCUGCGGCCGCCU
rnacentral:lncRNA from 1 species